rnacentral:rRNA from 1 species
CUGACGUUAGCGGCGGACGGGUGAGUAACACGUGGGUAACCUACCUAUAAGACUGGGAUAACUCCGGGAAACCGGGGCUAAUACCGGAUAACACAUGAAACCGCAUGGUUUCAUGAUGAAAGACGGUUUUGCUGUCACUUAUAGAUGGACCCGCGGCGUAUUAGCUAGUUGGUAAGGUAACGGCUUACCAAGGCAACGAUACGUAGCCGACCUGAGAGGGUGAUCGGCCACACUGGAACUGAGACACGGUCCAGACUCCUACGGGAGGCAGCAGUA